GUGUACCCGCGGCAAGACGGAAAGACCCCGUGAACCUUUACUAUAGCUUGACACUGAACAUUGAGCCUUGAUGUGUAGGAUAGGUGGGAGGCUUUGAAGCGUGGACGCCAGUCUGCGUGGAGCCGACCUUGAAAUACCACCCUUUAAUGUUUGAUGUUCUAACGUGGAUCCGUAAUCCGGGUUGCGGACAGUGUCUGGUGGGUAGUUUGACUGGGGCGGUCUCCUCCUAAAGAGUAACGGAGGAGCACGAAGGUUGGCUAAUCCUGGUCGGACAUCAGGAGGUUAGUGCAAUGGCAUAAGCCAGCUUGACUGCGAGCGUGACGGCGCGAGCAGGUGCGAAAGCAGGUCAUAGUGAUCCGGUGGUUCUGAAUGGAAGGGCCAUCGCUCAACGGAUAAAAGGUACUCCGGGGAUAACAGGCUGAUACCGCCCAAGAGUUCAUAUCGACGGCGGUGUUUGGCACCUCGAUGUCGGCUCAUCACAUCCUGGGGCUGAAGUAGGUCCCAAGGGUAUGGCUGUUCGCCAUUUAAAGUGGUACGCGAGCUGGGUUUAGAACGUCGUGAGACAGUUCGGUCCCUAUCUGCCGUGGGCGCUGGAGAACUGAGGGGGGCUGCUCCUAGUACGAGAGGACCGGAGUGGACGCAUCACUGGUGUUCGGGUUGUCAUGCCAAUGGCACUGCCCGGUAGCUAAAUGCGGAAGAGAUAAGUGCUGAAAGCAUCUAAGCACGAAACUUGCCCCGAGAUGAGUUCUCCCUGAGACUUAGAGUCUCCUGAAGGAACGUUGAAGACGACGACGUUGAUAGGCCGGGUGUGUAAGCGCAGCGAUGCGUUGAGCUAACCGGUACUAAUGAACCGUGAGGCUUAACCUUACAACGCCGAAG
rnacentral:rRNA from 2 species